AGCUUUGCUCAGUGGCAGUAUCGUAGCCAAUGAGGUUUAUCCGAGGCGCGAUUAUUGCUAAUUGAAAACUUAAACUGGCAUUUUCAAACCUUAUUUGGGAACAAAAACAACUUUCAUUUUUUCAAGUGUGGCAUAUAGCACA